rnacentral:rRNA from 1 species
AUUGAACGCUAGCGGGAUGCUUUACACAUGCAAGUCGAACGGUAGCACGAAGAAAGCUUGCUUUCUUUGGUGACGAGUGGCGAACGGGUGAGUAAUGUAUCGGAACGUACCCAGUAGCGGGGGAUAACUACGCGAAAGCGUGGCUAAUACCGCAUACGCCCUACGGGGGAAAGGGGGGGAUCGCAAGACCUCUCACUAUUGGAGCGGCCGAUAUCGGAUUAGCUAGUUGGUGGGGUAAAGGCCUACCAAGGCGACGAUCCGUAGCUGGUUUGAGGCGAGGACCAGCCACACUGGGACUGAGACACGGCCCAGACUCCUACGGGAGGCAGCAGUGGGGAAUUUUGGACAAUGGGGGCAACCCUGAUCCAGCCAUCCCGCGUGUGCGAUGAAGGCCUUCGGGUUGUAAAGCACUUUUGGCAGAGAAGAAACGACUCUGGAUAAUACCCGGGGUUAAUGACGGUAUCUGCAGAAUAAGCACCGGCUAACUACGUGCCAGCCGCCGCCGUAACAC